AUUGAACGCUGGCGGCAGGCCUAACACAUGCAAGUCGAGCGGAUGAAGGGAGCUUGCUCCUGGAUUCAGCGGCGGACGGGUGAGUAAUGCCUAGGAAUCUGCCUGGUAGUGGGGGAUAACGUCCGGAAACGGGCGCUAAUACCGCAUACGUCCUGAGGGAGAAAGUGGGGGAUCUUCGGACCUCACGCUAUCAGAUGAGCCUAGGUCGGAUUAGCUAGUUGGUGGGGUAAAGGCCUACCAAGGCGACGAUCCGUAACUGGUCUGAGAGGAUGAUCAGUCACACUGGAACUGAGACACGGUCCAGACUCCUACGGGAGGCAGCAGUGGGGAAUAUUGGACAAAGGGCGAAAGCCUGAUCCAGCCAUGCCGCGUGUGUGAAGAAGGUCUUCGGAUUGUAAAGCACUUUAAGUUGGGAGGAAGGGCAGUAAGUUAAUACCUUGUUGUUUUGACGUUACCAACAGAAUAAGCACCGGCUAACUUCGUG
rnacentral:rRNA from 1 species